rnacentral:lncRNA from 1 species
GUAAUAUGGAAUGACUGGUGGUGGUGGAGAUGCAUAGGAGACUCCUACAACUGGUGGAAGAGGUACAUUUUCGUAUGUUGGCGGUGGCGGUGAUGGCGAUGGUGGUGGGGGUGAUGAAUAGUAGUAAGUUGGUGGUGGAGGUGAUGGUGAUGGUGGUGGCGGUGAUGUGUAAUGGUAAGUGGGAGGGGGAGGUGAUGGUGGUGGUGGUGAUGAAUAGGUAUAUGGUGGUGAUGGUUUUGGUUCCCAGUGUGAAGUCGGAGGUGGAGGAGGUGGAUCAUUGCAAGGUAGGGUAGGUGGGGCAGGAGUGUAUCCACCUGGUGGUGGUGAUGGAUAUGGAGUUUUUGGAUGUUCGUAUGACGGUGGUGGUGGUGGUGGUGGUGGUGGUGAUGGAGUUCUUGGAUGUUCAUAUGUUGGUGGUGGUGGUGGUGAAUGUGGCGUAUACGUUGGUGGCUCGUGAUACACUGGGGGUGGUGGUGAAUGAGGCGUAUAUUUUGGUGGCUCGUGAUACACUGGGGGUGGUGGUAAAUGAGGCGUAUACGUAGGUGGCUCGUGAUACACUGGGGGUGAUGGAGAAUGAUAAACUGGUGGUGGUGGUGAUGGAGAUGGGCGGUAAUAUAAAGGUGAUGGUGGAGGAGGAGGUGAUUGAUGAGUUACUGGAGAAAUUUUAUGCAUAGGUGGUGGAGGACUUCUAUGUUGAUAGGUUGGGGACUUUUUGUAGGUAGGUGGUGGUGGUGGUGGUGGAGGCAGAGGAGUUGAUUGAGGUGGCGGUGGAGAAUGCUUGUUAUGCGAACCCGAAGAUUUCGAAGAAGGUGGUGGUGGAGAUUCAAUUGGUACAACAGGUCUUGUUGGACGAGAUGGCUUUGGUGCUGGUGGUUUGUUGUGAACAGGUGGUCUCUUAGGUUUUUGUGUUGGUUUUGGUCUUGGCUUUGUUGUAGGAGAUGUAGCAAAAUGGCUAAAACACUUUGAUUUCCUACAAUCAUAUGGUUUUGCAUCAUCAGAAGAGCAUUCCUUAGCAGAUCUUUGAUUCUUUUUUCCAGCGAUGCAGUUUUCUUUGCCAUCUCCAGAUCUAGUAGCAGCGCAAACCGGGGCAUCCCCGGUGAAGUAAUUGAAAGAGUAUGUAAAGUUUUGCAACCUAGGAAGUUGGCAAAUGCUGGCUGGUAUAGUACCAGUGAGCUUGUUGUGAGCCACAUUGAGUUGUUCCACACUCCUCAUUCUGCUAACUGUUGACGGCAAUGGACCUUGAAUCUUGUUGAAGCUAACAUCAAACACUGUCAGCUUCUUCAACAUCCCAAUCUCCUGUGGCAAACACCCAGUAAGGUUGUCAUUCAUCAGUAUUAGCUCAUUCAAAGUGUUGGCCAUUUUCCCAAUGCUGGCUGGAAUGCAUCCUCCAAGAUUGUUGUUGGCAAACACGAGAACAGAAACAGGUGAGUUACCCAAGUUCUCAGGGAUGCCAAAGCGGAAUCUGUUGUCAUUAAGGAACAAUGCAUCCAAAUCUUUGUCGAAAAGCUUAGAAGGAACUGGUCCUUCAAAGUCAUUAAACCUUAGAUCCAAGAACUUCAAAGAAGGCAACGAAAGAACCACCUUAGGGAAUCCACCAACAAACCUAUUGUUGCUCAAAUCAAGCUCCCUAAGAAGCUUCAAAUGGCUAAAGGUUUUAGGUACGACCCCGCAAAAUCGAUUCGAGUUGAGAUGGAAAAGAACUAGAUCUGUAAGAAGACCUAGUUCAGGAACUAAAGAACCAGCAAUGUCAGCAUGGUUAAGAUCAAUGCCAGCGACAACUCUUAUAGAAUCAUCAGUUAAUGAUGGUGCACAAAAUCCCCCGCCAUAGGAACAAACAUUUGGUCCUGUCCAAUUAGCUGUGAAGUUAAAAGGAUCAGAAAGCAUAGCUGCUUUCCAAGAUUGCAACGCGAUGUAGGCAUCGCGAAGCUUUGGGUUUUCGAAACUCAACUUGCUAGCAUUGGCCUUAAUGUCAUCUAAAUCAAUAUCAUUGUCACCACCUUCUUGUCCUACAACAGAUGAGAUCUGGAAGGACAAAAGGGAAAUAACAACGAAAGAUAUUAACAUAAACCAGGCGCGGCGGCUAGGAGGCCGCAUUGCUGCUAUUUUGUUGAUAUGAACACGGUGGAAACUAAUUAUCAAGCUAAGAAGAAAUAAUGAAGUUUUUUUCUUGUAAGGUGAAUAGGUUUUUGUUGUGCUGUGUGCUACUUGUAAAGUUUGAGAAGAUGGCAAGUGAACGAAUGAAUAGAUUUGAAUUAAAUAGCAACUAGACACCUCUAUUUAUUCCUUCACAGCUCUUUGCCCCUUUGUGUUUUACUUUUCAUUUUCUCUUGUCAACUUUCCUAUUCUAUUUUCGUACUCGGGAGACACAUUAUAAUGACAUGCCAGCACGUCUUUAAUAAAAUCUUGGUUUAUAUUUGAAUAAUUGACAUAACAUUAAGAUUCUCUGUUUUUUUAAUUAUACAAUAAAAGAAAAAAUAUCCUUGAUUGCAAAUGACCUUCAAUUUGCCAACUAUACUACUCGUUUUUGAAAGGAAAAAAGGAACAUUGACGGUGCCAGAUUGGUGUGGAAGUACUCACAAGGGUUUUAGUAGUAUUUAAAUUUAAUUAUUUAGAAGGGCACCGAUUUCAAUGACUACGGCAGUUUAGUAGUUUGAAUUACAUUACUCCGUUCGUCUCAUUAUAUCAGUCUUAAAUUAGAAUGACACAACUAUUAAGAAAAUAAUAAUUGAUAAUAUAAUUUUAUUAUUUUGUUCCUCUUAAUUGUGUCUUGUUGUUAGUUUCAAUAUUGAUAGAUGGCUAAUAUCAAAGCAUCAUUUAUAUUCUUAAUGGUACUCCUCUUUGCAACAUUUUUCAAGAAUACUAAUAACAAGGAGUAAUCAAUUAUACUAAGGGAAUAAUGAAAAAAAAAAUUAUCUUAUCUUAAUAAGUAAAUUAGGAGAUCAAAUUAGAAAAUUUGAGACGGAGAGAGUAUAAAAUAAUGCAUUCAAGGGCGUGGCCUAUUUAUCGAUGAAGUGAAUUAAGAAAUUAAAAUCUUAAAUACAAAUAUCAUUGACAAAAAAAUACUACAUAAUUUUUUUAUUUGUCCUAACCUUGAUAUGCAAAAUCAUCUCAUUUGUUGUGAUGAAAGAUAUCAAAUAUCUCUAAUAUUGAUAAAAGAAAACAAAUAUCUCAUAAAUUUAAUUAAAAUGCCUGAAAACUAAUUCAAACACUACAGUUACUUAAAAGUUAAUAAGUAAAUAUUUUGAAAAAAAAUUAUACAUAAUUUUAAAAAGAGAGUAAAAUAAGGCAAAAAAGGGGUCGUGUAGUGGGUGAAUUUUGGCAGGCCCCCACGUCUGUCGACUACGAGUAAAUGACAUGCCAGCACGUACCAGGCAAAAGUAAGAGUGGCCCAGGUCCUAAAUCACAAAUUUUGCAAAUUAAAAAAUUCUUCAAACAUUAACCCAAAUUUUUACUAGGUCAGACAUUUGGCUUUGGCCACAUGAAAAUUUUCACUGUGGUAAAAGGUUUUUAAAAACUUUCACUGUGGUAACAGAUGUAUAAUAUAUACUAGAUACCGGUAGCAGUGCAAGCACGGACAUUUUGACAACACUAAUGUAUUUUUUUCGUUUUAUUUUAUUUGACCUUCUUUUUUAAAAUAUUUGUUUCAAUUUAAUUAUCGAGUUUAAUUUGUUCUUCCAAUAACACCCUUAUUUCUUAUUUAAUCUUAUCAUUAAAUGACUAAAUAAGUUGUAUAUAUUUAAAUUUAUAUUUUCAAAGCAUAACUAAUAAGGUUAAUUUGGUAAAGUAGACCGCUAAUAAAUAUUUUUCUUAAUGGAUGUGUCAAGUCUAUAGGAGUCAGCUAAUACGAACCGGAGGGAGUACAAAAGAGAUUCAACUUUGGAAAAGAUUAUUUUCUACCUGUUUUAAUUGUUUAGUAUAGGAGUAAAAGAAAAGAAAUGUAGUACAAUGAACCUAUGUUAACAUAAUAUAUACAUUCAGUGUAGAAUAAAAUUGAGUUUGUUGGACUGGUUCAACCAAUACAAAAGUGAUUGUAUAAGUGGAUAAAAAUCUAAUUAGAUUAUUGCAGCUAUAGUUGGCGGCACGUCUUUCGUUUGGACAUUUCUGAAAAAGUACAUGAUACACAUCUUAUUUGAAAGUUUCAAAUAUAUAAGUUGAGGAGACAUACAUCGAUUUCAAAAUAUUUAUUGUACCAUAAAAUUACCGAAAUAUCCUUGAUAGUCAUUUAAUAAGAAAUAAAAAGAUAUUUAUAAAAAAAUUACUAUCAUGUAUAAUUUAAUUAUAAAUGUCUAAAUAAAAAUAUUAUUAAAAUAAUACAUAAGGACAAAACUAAUAAAUAUAAGAAAAAAUUAAAAUGCAUGUGUAACCAUUUUAUUGCACCAUAAAAAUGAUGACAGAACUAAUAAAUAUAAGAAAAAAGCAAUAUGCAUGUAUAACCAUUCUAUUGCACCAUAAAAUUACCGAAAUACUCUUGGAGUAUAAAAAAUAAGUAAUUUAAUAAGGAACUAAAAAUAUUUAUAAGAAAUACUUACCAUGUAUAAUUCAGUUACAAAGAUCUAAAUAAAAAUGUUAUUAAAAUAAUACAUGAGGACAAAAUUAAUAAAUAUAAGAAAAAAUAAUAUGCGUGUGUAAUCAUUUUAUUGCACCAUAAAAAUGAGGAUCAAACUAAUAAAUAUAAAGAAAAAGAAAUAUGCAUAUGUAACCAUUUUAUUGCACCAUAAAAUUAUUGAAAUACCCUUGGUAGUCAUUUAAUAAGGAACAAAAAGAUAUUUAUACAAAAAUAGUACCAUGUAUAAUUAAAUUACAAAGGUCUAAAUAAAAAUAUUACUAAAACAAUCCAUGAUGACAAAACUACUAAAUAUAAGAAAAAACUAAUAUACAUGUGUAACCAUUUUAUUACACCAUAAAAAUGAGGACAAAACUAAUAAAUAUAAUGAAAAAGUAAUAUGCAUAUGUAACCAUUUUAUUGCACCAUAAAAUUAUCGAAAUACCCUUGAUAGUCAUUUAAUAAGGAAUAAAAAGAUAUUUAUAAAAAAAAGUAUCAUGUAUAAUUCAAUUUCAAAGGUCUAAAUAAAAAUAUUAUUAAAAUAAUACAUGAGGACAAAACAAAUAAAUAUAAGGAAAAAGCAAUAUGCAUGUGUAACUAUUUUAUUACACAAUAAAAAUAAAGACAAAACUAAUAAAAACUAUUUUAUUACCAGAGUUGGCAUAGUGGUUCAGCACUAUGUCCCUUAAGCAAGAGGUUGGGGGUUCGAUCCCCGCCUCUGGCGAAUGGAGCAAACUCUGUGGCCAGUUCCCUACCGCAAAAUGCACUGAUCGAGGAACAGAAGAUUAGUCUCACAGCUGCCGGCUGUGGGAAUACCUUGGGAAACCAAAAGAAAAAAAAUAUAUAUAAGAAAAAAAUCAUAUGCAUAUGUAACCAUUUUAUUUACUACUAUAUAUAAGUAAAGGUUAGGGUGAAUAAAAUUACUGAACUACCUUCGAUAGUCACCCCAACCUUCACUUAUAUAUAGUAGUAAAGUAAUAAUAAUAAUAAUAAUAAUAAUAAUGAAAAAUAUAUAGUAGCAAAGUAAAGUAAUAAUAAUAGUAGUAGUAAUAAUAAUAGUAAAAAAAAUAGUAAUAAUAAUAAUAAUAAUAAUAUAUAAUUACUUAUAAAUGAAGAAUCGAUGUACUACACAAAAAGACAAAAUAGUAGUACAUCCAUUCUUCAUUUAUAUAUAAGAUGGUAUAAGAGUAAGGAGUAAAAUAUAUAAUUAUAAUUAUAUAAACAACUAGGGAAAAAUGGUCGUAUUAGCACAAAUUCAAUAUUGUGAAAGUAAAACUAUUAAUAUACGCUUCUGGUUCAUUUUUUUUAAUCAUUUUAGGCUUUUCUCAAAUCAAAUUACAUAAACCUUGACUAAUAUUUUAAGAUAUAUUUUUUUCAUAAUAUUAUGAAUACAAGAAAGAUGGCAAUUUAUAAUAUUUUUCCUAUCGUUUUCGAACAUCUAAAUUUGAAAUUCAAAAUAUUAUAUUAAUCUACUUUAAUUUAGUUUAGAAAUUUAUCCAAACUGACUUUCAUUAGAAAAAAGUAAUAAGUAAAAAUAAACGAAGGGAGUAUUUUAUAUAAUAUUUAUUUAUUUUUAAUAUUUAAUUCUAAUUUAUUAAUAUAAAUUAUUUUUAAAAAAUCAAUUAAUUUAAAUAUAUUUGAUUAAAAUAUGGAUAUAAAUAAUAAGUAUUUAUGAAAGAAAAUUAUUUAUCUUUCAUCAAGUUCAAAUGAAAAAUUAUAUGGAAGAAACUAGAGUAGAAUCAUUAUUCGACUAAUUUGUUCGUUUUAAAGAACAACUUUUUUCUUUGAGAUAAUACGUCACCCCUCGAACUUAUCUUCCCAACUAACUUUAGCACUUCAACUAACCUUUUAUUUAUUUACCCCUUAACAUCUUUAAAGUGAAUUAAUAUCACCCCUUAAUAUAUAAUACCACUCUCAUAACGGAGAGUGCAUCACACUCACUGACACAUCACCGCCACAUCACCGCCACAUCAGAGCCACGUAAAUAAAGUAUUUUUUUAAUAUUUAUAUAUAUAUAUAAUAGACAUAAAAAUAUANNNNNNNNNNNNNNNNNNNNNNNNNNNNNNNNNNNNNNNNNNNNAUAUAUACACAUACAUAUUUUAAAAUAUAGAUAAAAUAUUUUAAAUUAAAAAAAAUACCCCACCCCCCAUUUUCCAUCUUCUUUAUAACCACUCAUCCCUCCUCCCCCUCCCCGUCCUCCCUCUCGUCUACCCCACACCUGCACACACGCCCCAUCCACCCCUACACUGCCAUACCUAAACACACCCCCAUCCACCUCCGUCCACCCCCACACAACCACACCUAUCAAAUUUUUCAGCGAAUUUUCGCCGAAAAACUUAACCCACUUAAAAAAUUCAAUUACCACCAUCGAAAAAUAUCAUAAAAUAGUGAUAAAAAACUCAACCCACUUGAAAAAUUUGACCAAAUCAACAUCAAAUUCUCUAAAAUCAACAAUCAAACACCCAACUAUGUAAAUUUUUUAAUUUUCAAAUUCAAUUUUAUUCUAUUUUUAUUGAUCUAAGGGAUUGAAGGAGGAGAAAUUAAAGAUGGGGGUUGACAACUUUCGUAAUUAGAGGAGAAGUGGGGUGGGGGUGUUGGCGGGUUUGGUGGUAGAUUUGGCGAAGGAGGAGUGGGGGGAGGGGGGCUGUUGGCGGUUAAAAUAAAAUCACACCCUUCUUUUUCUUUUCUUUUUAUAAAAAAUAUCACGUCAACAUUAGGGUUGUAAUUAAUUCACUUUAGAGAUGUUAAGGGAGGUAAAUAAAUAGGAGUUUAGUUUAAGUGCUAAAGUGAGUUGAGCGGACAAGUUUAUGGGGGUUUUGAUGUAUUAUCUCUUUUUCUUUUAUAGCAAUUCUUUAAUUCUAACUUUUCAAAUGACAUGUUUAUGACCAUAAAAUUAAAUAAUAUAUUAAUAGUACAUGAUUUCUAUCGAAAAUAAUCUUUAUACUUCGCCGGAGAUAGUGGUAUGAAUUGCGUACAUUUUAUCUUUCCCAGACCCCACUAUGGGGGAAUACACUGGAUUUAUUGUUUAUUGUUGUUGUUGUUGUUGUAUUAGUAGUACAUGAUUUAAAAUUAUAAAAUUCAAAAAAUCUUUUUUAUUUUUAAAAUUUUGUGUCAAAUUAAAAUAUGUCAAACAAAUUUAAAUAAAAAACUUUAAAACAAAUUAAAUUAAAAAAAAUAUGAUAAAGAUUAUUUACGAAUAACCCAAAUUAUCAAAUGGGAAAUAUAUGAAAUUAAUUUUACUUGUUAUUGUUCUACGUGUCAGCUUGAAAGUUCAAUGAACCCACCAUAUUUAGGACAUGAUUUGUAAUUAUAAUGAAGUAGUGGACUUUUUUCUAAAAUUAUUGAUAAGUCCCAAAGAACAAUGCAGGUAAUACAAUUUUGCUAAGCAACCGAAUCUUGUAAAAAUUUUGAAGUCCUGGAAUAACCUCAAUCUUUUUCAUUAAUACCCUAAAACUACCAUUUCUACUACUAAUAAUAAUACACAAGUGACAAUAAGCCAUUGAAGCAGGCAACUUGUGGAUGAUAUGGCUGCUUCAGCAGUUUUAAUGGUGAUUUUACUAUAUUAUCCUUAAUUAAUUAUUAUAAAUUAUUUAUAUAUUAAAAAAUUAAAAUGAAUUAAUAAAAAAUUUAAAAUAGACAUUUAUGACAAGAUUGUUUCAACAGUUUCAAUCGUGAUUUUACUAUAUCAUUUUUAAUUAAUUAUUAUAAGUUAUUUACGUAUUAAAAAAUUAAUAAUACAUAAUUAAAAAAAGUAAAUAGAUAUUUAUGACAUGCUUGCUUCAACUACUUCAACCGUGAUUUUACUAUAUUAUUCCUAUUUAAUUAUUAUAAGUCAUUUACGUAUUAAAAAAUUAAUAAUAUUUAAUUAAAAAAUAUAAUAAACAUUUAUGACAUGUCUGCUUCAAUUGCUUCAAUCGUGAUUCUAUUAUAUCACCCCCUAAUUAAUUAUUAUAGAUCAUCUAAGCAUUAAAAAUUUGAUAAUAUUUCAUUAAAAAAAAGUAAAAUAGACACAAAAUUCUAGGUUAACUCUUGAUGUUUAAAAUUAAUUUGACAACUUAUACGUAGUCCACUUAAAAAAAAUUCCACAAGUACCUUUUAUAGUAAUUUUAUUAUAUCGCUUCUAAUUAGUUAGUCGUUGAUGUUAGUAAUUUUAUUAUAUCACUUCUAGAUAGUUAUUAUAAGUCAUUGAAGUAUUAGAUAAUUAAUUAUUAUAAGUCAUUUACAUAUUAAAAAAAUAAUAUUAUUUAAUUAAAAAAUAAAAUAGACAUUUAUGGCACAUCGGCUUCAGCUACUUUAAUCGUGAUUUUACUAUAUCAGCCUUAAUUAAUUAUAUAAGUCAUUUACGUAUUAGAAAAUUAAUAAUAUAUAAUGAAAAAAGUAAAAUAUAUAUUUAUGACAUGCCUGCUUCAAUUGCUUCAACCGUGAUUUUACUAUAUCAUUCCUAAUUAAUUGUUAUAAGUCAUUUACAUAUUAAAAAAUUAAUAAUAUUUAAUUUAAAAAAUAUAAUAGAUAUUUAUGACAUGUCUGCUUCAUCUACUUCAAUCAUGAUUCUACGAUAUCACACCUAAUUAAUUAUUAUAGAUCAUCUAAGCAUUUUAAAAUUAAUAAUAUUUUAUUAAAAAAAUAAAAUAGACACAAUAUUAUAAGUUAACACUUGGUGUUUUCAAUUAACUGGACGACUUAUAUGCAGUCCACUUAAAUUUUUUUCAACAAAUACUUUUUAUAGUAAUUUUAUUAUAUCACUUUUGAUUAGUUAACCAUUGAUGUUUUAAAUUAAUUUGACGACUUAUACGGGGUUCACUUAAUAAAAUUUCAGAAGUAACUUUUAUAGUAAUUUUAUUAUAUCAAUUCUAAAUAGUCAUUAUAAGUCAUUUAAGUAUUAGAUUAUAAAUAAUAUUUAAUAACAAGGAUAAAAUAGAUUAAAAAAAUUAAAAAUUAAAAAUGAUCGGAUAAAGUACUUUGCAAUAGUAAUAUCUGUGUCAAAAAAAGAUAUGAGAGUAGUACACCUAUUGAGAUCUAAAUAAUUAGAUUCAAACAAAAAAUUAAAUCUAUAGUUAUGAUGUAGAUCUGAGUGAUUAAAAUAUCAAUUUUUAUUAGGUACAAUUAAAUGAAGCAUAAAAUACAUAAACAAGGAAAUUAAAUUUUAAUUUUUUUAACAACUUAACAGACUUUUCGUUUCGGUGAUCGACAUGCUUGUCGAUCACUAUUUGCUCCCUAAUUUUACUAUAUCACCCUUAAUUAUUAUAUAUCAUUUACGUAUUAGAAAAUUAAUAAUAAUUAAUAAAAUAAAUAAGCAAAAUAAACAUUUAUAAUAUGUUUGCUUCAGCUACUUCAACCAUAAUUUACUACAUCAUCUCUAAUUAUAAAUUAUUUAAGUAUUAAAAAGUUAAUAAAAUGGAUAAAAAAGUAAAAUAGACAUAAAAUAAUUAAUUAACUCUUUAUGUUUUAAAUUAACUAGACAUCUUAUAUGAGGCUCACUUAAAUUAUUUUUACAAGUAUUUUUAUAGCAAUUUUAUUAUAUCGCUUCUAAUUAGUUAUUAUAAGUCAUUUAAGACACGUCUGCUUCACUACUUCAAUCGUGAUAUUUGCUUAACUCUCAAAAUUAUAUCGGUGUCACGUAAAAUAAAAUAAAAUAAAAAAUAUUAUAAAUUAAAAUAAUUAAAAACAUUAAUUAUUUAAAAUUAUUUAAUAAUAGCAAUUUAUUUCACUGCUUUUAUAAUAAUUUUAAAAAUUUGAGCUUAGCAUGUUGGGCCCGUGCUCAGCACGACCCUGUCACCAUUAGUCUACUAUAUAGAAUGUAAAACCUUUAUAUAAAAAAAAAGACAAAAUUGCCUAAAUAAACAACUUAUGUUUUUAAACUACCAAAAAAUUUUCCACCUCUAAAAUAUUAUUUAAAUACCAAGAUUUAUAAUUUUUUUGGUAAAGUUGAGAUACAAGUUAAAACCUCCUUUUCUUUAGCCGUAACUUUAUUAAAAAUUAACCCAUUCUCUCGUCUUUAUGCGCCUUAAUUCAAGAAGCCGUUUCUAUCCAAUUUCUCUCUCUAAUUCAAAGGUUUGAAUUAAGGUAAAUUUCCUCUCUAAAAUCUACUUCAAUUUCUUCUAUUCUUAUUUUAUGCUUUUUUUUCAAAAAAUAAUUUUACAACUGGAUUUACAAAGUGAUUUUUUCAAUUUUUUUGUUAUGCAAUUUCUAUGAUUAUCGUUUGUUUAGGCUAUAUUGUUUUGAAUUAACAUUAUGAAUAGAGAUUUGGAAAUAUACUGGGUAUGUUGUUGUUGAUGUUUACUUCUCCUUUUGCUAUUGUUUUGAAUAUACGAAUAAGCUGCAAAAUCAUUUAGGUCCAGUAGUUCGGUAGAAUCCUGAAAAACAUUGUUUAUCUAAUUUUUGUUUAUGCUCACACGUCAUUUAUCAAUUUUUAUGAACUUGCAGUUUCGUGUAGCAAUCCAACUGCAAUUUAAUUUUCAUAGGGCAAUCUACAACCUUGAAACUGUUUUGGUGGGUUUAUCGUAGUUGCUCAUUCUAGCUUUUGUACUUGAGAGAGUGGUGGUCAUUUACAGCAACCUCCUCAUUUUUCAAGUGAAAACUGAAAAAAAAAACUUAAACAAUAUGAAAGGAUAAAGUGAAAGUGAUGAUAACUUUCUUUUUGCACUGUUCUUUUACAGUAUGAGUUAGCGGAGGACGUGUCCAGAACAGGGGAGCUGUUAAUACUAAAGAGAUUUCUCCUAAUGAGUUGUACAGCCAGGAUGCGAUUUACAUUGGAAGUUUAAUUUGGUGAGAAACAAUGAACUUUCAGCGUUUUAAAAAGGUAUGUUCUUUCAAAGUUAUUAACAUAUUUAGAUCUGAUAAAUAUUAGGUCGAGAUACAUAUUUAGACAUGGAUGAUACGUUUAGAAAUUCAUUGUUUAUCUGAUUCUUUGUUGUCAAUUUUAUAUGUAUCUUGUAUUUUUAUGUGUUAUUGAAAUUAAUAUAACAAAAGAUACAAGUUUAUAAGUAGAUAGAUACAUGUCGUGUUAACUUAUAUCAGUGAGUUUCUGUUAAUGCUUUGAUGUGUAUCUAGUGUUGUUUUAAUUUUAUUAAAAGUCGUAUUACAAAAGAUACAAGCUUAUAAGUUCAUAGAUACAUGUUGUGUUAACUAGUAUUUGUGAGUUACUGUUAAUGCUUUGAAAUGUACUUAGUGUUGUUUAAAUUUUAUUGAAAGUAGUAUUACAAAAGAUACAAGUUCAUAAGUUCAUAGAUACAUGUUGUGUUAACUAGUAUCUGCGAGUUACUGUUAAUGCUUUGGAAUGUAUUUAGUGUUGUUUAAAUUUUAUUGAAAGUCGUAUUACAAAAAAUACAUAUUUUUUCUUCUAAGAUACAUGUUUUUAAGCUUAGACAUACAUUUUGUAUUAUUUUAUAUCUAAAUUAUGAUGUUCUUAGAGUUUUUGUAUAUAUUGUAUUGUCUUAAUAUAGAUUUGUUGCAUCUCAACUUAGUUUUUUUUUUUUUUUUUUUUUAGGGACUGAAUUACGUUAUAAAGAAAAUUUCACCUCAUCCUCUUAGAUUUGUAAGUUCAUGCAAUUUAAGAAGCAAGCAUGUAGUUGAUAUGAAGCUUUAUUGCUUCGAGUUUUACUAUCCUAAAACAUUAAGGAAGACAUAUGAAGAAGAAUUGAUGUUUUCAAUGCCCGAUAAGAAGGACUGGAUUGUGCCACAAGAAGUUAUGGAUGGAGUUGUGUUACCACCAAAAUACAAACGUCUACCUGGAAGGCCAAAGAAAAACAGGCAUAAGAAAUCAAGUGAAACAAUGAUAUCGAGCAGUAAUUAUUACGGGAUAUGUGGUUAUGAAGGUCACAACAGGCGUUCUUACAACUUCUUUCCAAAGGAGGAGUGACAAUGUAGUUGACUGAUGAACAAUGAUGAAUAGUCUCUUAACUUGUUGGUGGAUUUUUCAUUUAUUUGAUUCGACAUUUUAAUUGAUGAUAUUAUUAUUUUUAAAAUUUUUUUAAGAAAGCAGUUACCGACAUAAAUAACUUUUUUGUUCCUUUGUUAAUUAGUUAUAUUUGGUUUCAUUAUGUAUUUUGUUGUGACACAUCAGAUAGAAAUUAAGAUAUAUUGAACUGACAAUGCUAUUAAAUAGUAUAUUAGUAGUUCUGUCAUAGUAAAUGAUUGAAAAGAGAUACAUUCUUAUAGAAUGUAUCUCACAUAAAUUUAUAGAUACAAGUUUACAAAAUUUGUAUCAAUUAUAAAAUAUAAUUUUUCAAUAUUAUUAAGAUUUAGUAAUAUAAGUUUGGCUUUAGUUUGUUAUGCAAGUUAGAGUCAAACAUGUAUUCCGAUCAACAAAAAAAGAUUAUAGAUACAUUAAAAUGUAAAAAUUUGUUGGUUACUAUCAUUAUAUAUUAAAAUAUGUUUCCUUAUAAUAGAUACAUACAAAUGGAAUACAUGUUCAAAAUGAAAUCAAAUGGAAUAUAUGUUAGAGCAGGCAACUGUAAUGAUUAAAACUGAAAGAGAUACAAAUUAAAUUCUUUAUGUAUCUAAUGUGAUUAAAGGAAAAAUGCAGGUAACUGAAAGAGCAACAAAUGAACAAGAUACAUAUUCACAAAGAAAGAUACAUGUUUUGUUAUUAUAUAUCUAAUACAAAAUACAUUCAGCUAAAACAUCCCAAAUAUCUUUACUGUCAGAAAAUCACCAAAAUUUGACAGGAACAAGUUAACAUUGCAUGAUCUUUAGCUUAAACAAUUAUUUUAAUUUGGGCAGUCAAUGUAACAACCUCAUGUGAUAGACUUUAAUACAUCAUCAUAAAUAUCACACAAUUCGAAAUGCGUAUAGUAAUGAAAAUCUACUUUAACAAUGUUUAUAGAAAAAGUAAAAGUAUUUGAAAAAUCAAUAAUUGAAUAAGAUACAUAUUAAUAUAUGACGAUACAUCUUUUGUUAUUAUGUAUCUAGUACAACAUAAGAACAAAAUAAAAAAUCCAACAGCAAUACUGCAACAAAUAAUCAAAAUUGAUAGAAACAAGUUGCUUUGCAUGAUUUUUCAAUUAAAGAUAUCAUCUAACUUAUGCAGUCAAUCUAAAGAAUCAACAACAGACAAGUAUUUCCAUCAACAAUGUAACGAGCCUCAAUUUUUUUCUGAUUUCGUCUAUUUUCAGUUCUCCGGCAAUUGUUGAAAUCAGUUUUUCAUAAGUUACAUGUUCACUGAUCACGGUUCCAUCGCUCUUAUAGCCCACAUAGUUGAUUUCGUUAACCCUAACACCAGAAUGACGUAACAACACUGAAGUAUUUAUUUCAAAUAAACAAACAAAAUUAACAAAUCAAAAAUAAAUUGAUCGUCUGAAUCUUUGGAACACGCACUGUUUCAAAACAGAUUAUGUGAAAGAUUUUUGAUUAGAAAGGUGGAAUAACAAACGAAUUUUCAUAAAUCAUGGGAUUUUAUUUUAUUUUUACCAUAAUUAGUUAAAUUAAUUGUUGUUUUAAUACUAAGUGAUCCGUUACUUUCCUUAAAUCUUGCUAGUUAGUUUAAUUAAAACAUGUAUCCGUAGUAUGUAUCUAAGUUAAUUAACUUGUAUCCUCAAUGGUCAAAUAUUGACAUUUUAUGAGAUUUUGAAAAAAGUUGAGAUUUUUAGUAAAUAUUAGUAAACAUGUCAUUAUAUAUGUAUUUUUUACUAAAAAAAAAUAAUCAGUAAAUAUAUUUGACUUUCAUAUAAAGAUCCCCUUUUUUAUAGGCUUUCAAAACAUUUGAUUGGUUAACCAAAUAAUUACAACAGCUAGUAAAACGUAUAAAAAUAUGCAUGAAUUAUGUACUCGUUCUUUUAAUUUACAUGACAUAGUUUUCUGUUUAGUUUGUUUUCAAAAAAUAAUCAUCUUUUUUUCUUUAACAACUAGUUAAUGGCACAAUUCUCAUUUUAUUCUCAUUAGGUCCCAUUUAAUAAGAAAAGUCAACCAAAAAAGGUACUAAAAUGAUUUUAAAAAGGGUAUAUUAGUAAACAUAACAAGAUUUUUUUUUUUUGGUUUCUCAUUCAGUGUUCGGUACCCGUAUUGGGGUCCGACUAAUCCAAAUUUAUGCCGUGUAGGGCGCCAUUUGGGGGGAAGUGCUCCCUACCAAGAUUUUUUUCAUACCCAGAGCUUAAACCCGAGACCUCUGGUUAAGGGAGGAGCAGCCCCAUCCACUUCACCACAUCCUUUGGCAGUAACAAGGUCUUUUCUUACUUCUUAACCUCUUGUCCGAUCAAAUUUUACCUUAUAAAUUAAAAUGAAAAAGAGUAUAAGAUAUGUAUAAGCUUCUUUUAAGGAAAAUUACAGUUCCAAUGAAAUAAUUCCCAAGUUAUAUUUGCUAGCUAAAUAUUAAAUUAUUUUUAUAUAAUAUUAAUAUAUGUAUAUUUAUUGAUUAUUAUUUUAAUAAACCACUAGUUAUAUUAAUUUUCUCUUAUAUAAGUGAAGGAUUGGUGCACCACUAAUUUGUCUUUUUGUNNNNNNNNNNNNNNNNNNNNNNNNNNNNNNNNNNNNNNNNNNNNNNNNNNNNNNNNNNNNNNNNNNNNNNNNNNNNNNNNNNNNNNNNNNNNNNNNNNNNNNAUUAUUAUUAUUAUUAUUAUUAUUAUUAUUAUUAUUAUUAUUAUUAUUAUUAUUAUUAUUAUUAUUAUUAUUAUUAUUAUUAUUAUUAUUAUUAUUACUACUUUAUUUUACUUUAUUACUAUAUAUAAGUGAAGGUUGGGGUGGCUACCAAGGAUAUUUCAUUAAUUUUAGUGACCCCAAUCUUUACUUAUAUAUAGUAGUAAAUAAAAUGGUUACAUAUGCAUAUGAUUUUUUCCUUAUAUUUAUUAGUUUUGUCCUAAUUUUUAUUGUGCAAUAAAGUAGCUACACAUGCAUAUUGUUUUUUCCUUAUAUUUAUUAGUUUUGUCCUCAUAUAUUAUUUUAAUAAUAUUUUUAUUUAGACCUUUGUAAUUGAAUUAUACAUGAUACUAUUUUUUUAUAAAUAUCUCUUUGUUCCUUAUUAAAUGACUACAAAUGGUAUUUCGAUAAUUUUAUGGUGCAAUAAAAUGGUUACACAUGCAUAUUGCUUUUUCCUUAUAUUUAUUAGUUUUAACAUCAUUUUUAUGGUGCAACAAAAUGGUUACAUAUGUGUUGGACAAUAAAAUUUUUGAGGCCAAAAAAUAAAUAAUUCGAUACAAGAAAAAUAUAUUGCAACAAUCAAUUUAUUGAUUUCAAUGCGAGUGUUACAAUCUCUAUGAAUCCUCUGAUUCGCCUUUUCAAAUAUAAAUUCAAGGGCUUAAAGCUUGGUCUUGAAUUUGAACUUGAUUUGUUGAUUUGGGGGGCUUAAUCUUGACUUGUGCUUGAAUUCAAGGGCUUUUGAGCUUGUUCUUGAAUAUUGCGGUUUUGAUCUUGAAUCUUGAUGAACUUGAUUUGAAUCCUUGAGCUUUUUAGAGAAAUUACGACGUUUGAUCCACGGGCUUUCUCUUGCUACUUGUUAGAGUUCUUGGGGUCCCUUUUCUGAAUUAUGAGGCCCCUAUUUACAAUUGUAGGAAAUGAAGAGUCAUGAUGAAUAUGGACUUUCUUUGACCAAUCAGAUUUAAGUGAUGUGGCGCCUUUUAUGAGCUUUUAUUUCAUGGACUUGCUGCAUCAAUUUGACAUGUGGCACGGUCCUAUUGGCUUCUUCACUUGACUUGGCAUGCCACGUCAUUUGGCAUGUGGUGCUUAUUUGGGCCUCUAGAAUAUGACAAUAUCUUGGGCUUAGUAAAGUGGUCAUCAUUUGUAGCCCAAAUUAAUGGACUAACCCAAUAAAUAUUGGGCCUUAUUUAAAUCCAUACCUAUUUGGACUUAAAUAAUUAAUUCAAUUAUAUUAAUCCACAAUAUUUAUUUGGGACUAAUAUAUUUUGAAUUUAAUACAAUUCAAAUUUUGGACGGAUUUAAAUUUAAUAAAAUUGCAUCGCCCACAAAUGCCCCCUACUUCAAGACUUGUCGAGACAUUUAAUAUUUGGGAGACUAGCCUUGAAGUAUGAUUAUUGAAACAUGUUUCCUUCGUGCUUCAGUGAUUUUCCAUACAUAAGAACAUCUCAUUCAAAGACUUUAAAGCCAAACCAUAUUGACAUUAUCUCGCAAAGCUCUCUUGAUUUUUUUUUCACGAAUCUCUAUAUGUAAGAUCCAUUGGUGAGACAUAAUAUCCAAUUUCAAACAGUUUUGGAAGACUUUUUAAUUACCUUACUUAACCAGUAAUAGAACUCUUUCUAUUUAAACUUAGAUUGGAGAAGGAAAUAACCUCCAAUUUGGCUUUGUAUAGGGGAAGGAAACAACCUCCAAUUUGAAUUUGUAUGGAAAAAGGAAAUCAACAUCCAAUUUGAAUUUGUAUGGAAGAAGGAAAUCAACCUCCAAUUUGAAUUUGUAUGGGAAAAGGAAACAAUCUCCAAUUUGAAUUUGGAGAUGGAAGUUAUCCCAAUUUGAAUUUAUAUUGGAGAAAGAAACAAUCUCCAAUUUGAAUUUGGAGAUGGAAGUUAUUACAAUCUGAAUUUAUAUUGGAGAAGAAAACAUCCAUCUUACAACUCUAUAAAAGGAGGUAGUUUUUCCACUUUUCAAUAUCAAUUUUGGGGUUUUCAAGCCAUCAACAAUAUUGAGGUAAUUUCUUCCCCUCCUACUUUUCUCUUAUUUUCGUCAUUUUUUCCAGCACAACAUGUUAAUGGUAGAAAAUUUAUAUCUAAUUGUAGAAAUAUCAAAAUUAUGAACUGUUUGAUAUUCCAAAAAUUAGACUUCAAGAUCUAUAACAUAUCUAAAAUUUAGAUUAAAAUUCCUUCAAUAUAAUUCUCAAUAAUUUUUUGAAGUUAGCCCUAAAUUUUAUCAUGCUGAAAAUUUUAGAUCGGCACGUCUUUACUAAAACUUUCAUAUCUUGAAGUAGGAAGGAUGAAAUCACAAGCCGCUUGAUUCUUGUGAAACUAGACACAAAGAUCUAUAAAAUAUCUAAAAUUCAUAAUUUAAUACAAUUGAGAUAUUUUCAGGUGUAAUCCCAAAAUCAACAUUGAGUUUUGAUGCAUCAACAAUUUCAUAUUUACGCGACAUCACCAAAAAAACUAUAUCUCAAAUGUGAGAGUACCAAAAUUAUGAUCCGCUUGAUCCUAUAGAUGCCAUAAACAUGCAUGAAUAACAUAUCCAAAAUUUGGAUUUUAACACUUUUUUAUUGUUCUAGAUGAUUUUUUGAAGUCGAUCUCAUAUGUUGUCCGACAGAGGAUUCCAGAUUUGCAUUGCCUCACCAAAUAAUUUAUUUCUUGAUGUAGGAACAUCACCACCAAAGGGCAUUUUGAUUGCCUCAAACUAGAUUUUGAGGGCUUUAUUCUCAUCAAGGCAUCUUGUCUCAAUCCAAGUUGGUGAUAUACAACUUUUAAGAUCACAACGCUUUGAUAGGUAACAUCCUUUCUAUUUGUGUUUUUGCUUUCUUUCUUCUUUUCUUUUUUUUGUUGUUGUUUUGUUUUAGGAGAAUUGAAACAGAUAGCAAUAUUCACCAAUCGGCUUAGGGUGUGAGAGUUUAACUUCGCCUCCGUCACCUUAAGUCCGAUCAAUUUUACUUGAAAACGGUGGACAUCGGAUUAAGGUGCGAGAGUUUAACUUCACCUUCAUCACCUUAAGUCCGACUAAUUUUACUUGAAGACAGUGGACAUUGGCUUAAGGUGCGAGAGAUUAACUUUGCCUCCAUCACCUUAAGUCCGACCAAUUUUACUUGAAGAUGGUGGAUAUCGGCUUAAGGUGCGAGAGUUUAAAUUCACCUCUGUCACUUUAAUUCCGACCAAUUUUACUUGAAGACGGUGGACAUCGGCUUAAGGUGCGAGAGCUUAAAUUUGACUCCGUCACCUUAAGUCCGACCAAUUUUACUUGAAGAUGGUGGACAUACGAUUAAGCGGUGAGAGUUUAACUUCACCUCCGUCACCUUAAGUAUGACCAAUUUUACUUGUAGACGGUGGACAUCGGCUUAAGAUGCGAGAGUUUAACUUCACCGCCGUCACCUUAAGUCCGACCAAUUUUACUUGAAGAUGGUGCAAUAAUUUUUUUUAAGCAUGGGCCCAUUUCAAUGUUCAGCUUAAGGUGCAAAGGAACAAAUCUUGUCCACCUUAAGGCAUGAAAAUUUUGAUAUCCUUUUAAAGAUAAAUUUGCGAGAGGCCAGCUUAAGGUGCAAAGGGACACAUUUUGUCCACCUUAAGGCAUGAAAAUUUUGAGAUCCUUUUAAGGAUAAACAUGUUAGAGGCUAGCUUAAGGUGCAAAGGGACAAAUUUUUUCCACCUUAAGGCAUGGACAUUUUGAUAUCCUUUAAGGAUAAACCUGUUAGAGGACAACUUAAGGUGCAAAGAGACAAAUUUUGUCCACCUUAAGGCAUGGACAUUUUGAAACCCUUUUAAGGAUAAACCCAGUAGAGGCCAGCUUAAGGUUCAAAGAGACAAUUUUUAUCCACCUUAAGGCAUGAAAAUUUUGAUAUCUUUUUAAGGAUAAACCCGUUAGAGGCCAUCUUAAGGUGCAAAGGAACAACUUUUGUCCACCUUAAGGCAUAGAAAUUUUGAUAUCCUUUUAAGGAUAAACCCGUUAGAGGCAAGCUUACGGUGCAAAGGGACAACUUUUGUCCACCUUAAGGCAUGAAAACUUCAAUAUCCUUUUAGUUAUAGGCUUGGAGAACUUUAGCAUUUCAAAUUCCAUUGAAGGAACUCUUUUUCUUUUCGACUGGUUGCCUUCAUUGAGUCAUAAAUAUUUGGAGUAAGUCCAAAAUUUGAUUAGAAUAGUUUCAUACUUGGCGUUCAUAUGACAGACACUAUAGGAACAUAUUUUUUUGACACUCAUGUAACUGAACUUGGAAUGAGAUUCCAAGAACCUAUGUACCUCAAUGAAGAGGAUCAAGCCACAAUGUAGUUUUGGGUAAGUGUUUUUUUCUGUGUCCUAAGUUUUGCCUAGGCCGCCUCUUUCGAGGUUUUCAACCUAGCGGGCAUUUAUUUGAUUUUUUUUAAGCCGUUCAGUUUAUACUCUUACGGGACAGGAGUAGACAUGCAGUUUAUACUCGUGCCUUAAGAUGUGUACAUGCAGUUUAUACUCGUGCCUUAAGGAGUAUUAUCUUUCUUCAAGGAUAGUACUUCUUCAAUAAUUUGGCGUUAAUGGGGCCAAUCCUCACGCCAUCUACAUAGACGAGCUUGUAAGCACCAUUUGAAUAGGCUUCUUAUAUGACAUAUGGUCCAUCCCACUUCGGGGUGAAUUUGCCCCAGACUUAUGAGAAGUGAUAAUGGGCCUUCUUACUACAAGGACUUGAUCUCCAACUUGAAAGCACCUUAAGCGAACCCUUUUGUUGAAAGAACGAGAUAGCCGGGCUUGAUAACAUUCAAGAUGACGUUUGCAAUAUUUUCUUUCUUUACUUCCUUGAGAGCAAUAGGUUCGACCCGUUUUGAGAAGUAAUCUAUUGUGACCAAGAUGUAUAAGUGUCCACCAGAAAAUUUUGGUAGUGGACCAACAACAUCCAUUCCCCAAGCAUUGAAUAGCCAAGACGCUACAGUUGGGUGUAGUACCUCCAGAGGUUGAUGUAUGAAGUUUGUAUGAAAUUAGCAAGUUUUGCAUCUUCUAGCAUAGUCCAAGCAAUCUUUCACCAUUAUUGGCCAAUAAUAUCCCAUCCUUUUAACGUGAAAAUGGAGCUUCGGUCCAAAUUUAUGCGAUCCACAAACCCCUGAGUGUGUUUCUUGCAAAGCUUGAAUUGCUUCUUCCUCUCCCAAACACCGUAAGAGUACUUCUUCAAAUGAUCUUCUGUACAGUGUGUCUUUGUAGUAAAGAAAGCGAGGUGCACAAUGACGAAUGUCAGUCUUUCUCUUUGGAUUUUCUGGAAGUAUCCCAUAACUUAAGUAAUCAAUGAUAGGUUGUCACCAAUCUUCUUUUACAACUUCAGAAAUGCAAACGAGGUGUUCAACCUUGUUUUCUACGUCCUCAUAUGACGGCGGUACUACCCAUUCUUGGCAGAUAGUAACUUGGGCCUGAUUUGUAAGAGUCAGGGCAGAGGCCAAAGCAGCUAGGGAAUCAGCUUACUUAUUUUCUCUCCUUGGCACAUGUUGGAAGGUUACUCCUCCAAGCUACCCCAUUAACUUAUGUGCAUAAUCAUGAUAUGGUCAUAGCUCAGGCUUUCUAACUUCAUAGCUUCCCAAAAGCUGCUUGAUCACCAAUUGGGAGUCACAAAAGACUUGUAAUUGCAGUUGUUUUAUGUCAAAUGCCAUCUCAAGUCCAAGUAUCAAAGCUUGAUAUUCAGCAACAUUAUUAGAGAAAUGAUUUGUUAGGGUAAAAGAGUAUGGAAUGACCUCUUCUUGUGGAGUGACGAACACCACACCGGCACCAGCUCCAUCUUGAUGUACGGCACCAUCAAAGUACAUCUUCCAUGGGGGCCUAGCUUCAAUGACUAUUGUAUCUUUAUCAAGAAGUUCAUCGCUCAAUUUCCAAUUAUCAGGUAUCGGGUGGUUUACCAAAAAGUCAGCCAGUGUUUGUCCCUUUACAACCUUUUGGGGAAUGUACACAAUAUCAAACCGCUGAAAUUGAGGGUUCUAUCUUGUAAGUCAAUCACUAAAGACUGGUUUCGACAUUACAAACUUGAUGGGAUUUGUCUUAAAUACAAAACGGACAACAUGAUCUUAAAAGUAGUGUUUCAUCUUUUGAAUUGAGAAGGCCAAUGCCAGACAUAACUUUUCAAUUGGAGAAUACUUUAGCUCAUUCUAUGUCAUGAUUCUGCUCAAAUAGUAAAGAGAGUUUUCUUUGCCUUCACUAUUUUCUUGAGCCAGUAGUGCUCCAACUGAACUCUCUUGUGCCGCGAUGUAGAGUAUCAAUGGUUUCCCAGGUAUGGGUGUCUCAAGAACUGGUGGCUUUAUUAAGUAUGAUUUAAUACUCUCAAAGGCGUUACUACAAGCUGUGUCCCAUUCGAAGAGAGUAUCUUUGUUUAUGAGAUGACUAAAUGGUUAACAUUUCCCGGUCAAGUUUGAGAUGAACUUCCUUAAAUAUGCUAGCCUUCCUUGAAGGCUUUUUAACUCAUGAAUAUUUUGAGAAUCAAGAAUCUUCAAAAUCGCAUUAACUUUGUCUUGAACAAUUUCAAUUCCUCGUUGUCACACAAUGAAGCCAAGAAACUUUCCAGAAGUUACUCCAAAGGUACAUUUCAAUGGAUUCAUCCUAAGUUGAUAUCUUCAAAGUAACUCGAAUACCAUUCUUAGGUCUUUUAAGUAGUCGUCUCUCUUUCUUGACUUCACCACUAGACCAUCCACAUAGCAUUUAAUAUUUUUAUGAAGCAGGCCAUCAAAGAUGUUCUGUAAAGCCCUUUGAUAAGUGGCGCCGGCGUUAUUCAAACCAAAAGGCAUCACCUUAUAGCAGUAAAUACCUUUGGGCAUACAAAAUGCAGUAAGUUCUUCAUCCAUUGGUGCCAUGCGGAUUUAAUUGUAUCUGGAUGAACCAUCCAUGAAGGACAUUGCCUCAUAACCAGUGGUAGCAUCAAUCAUCAACUCUAGUAUGGGGAUUAGAAAGUCAUCCUUAGGGCAGGUAUUGUUGAGAUCCCAAAAGUCGACAGAACAAUACUUGAAAUCCAAAUGGGAUAUUUGACUUCGCGAAUAAAGCCAGCUUCAAUGAGUUUGUUAACUUCAUUUUCGAUUAAUGGAACCAACUCUGGCCUAAAACGCCUUUGAGCUUGCUUAACAGGACGAGCACCAUUCUUGACUACUAACUGAUGGACUGCUACUUUCGGAUCUAAGCCAGACAUUUCCUUAUAGCUCCAAGAGAAGACAUCCAUAUAUUAUUUGAGUAUGUCCAUAUAAGCGACUUCCUCCUUUUCUUCUAGAAAUACACUCAGGCAAGUUGGUCUUGGGUCUUCAUGAAUUCUAAGAUUAACUUUCUUCAGGGGAUCUAUUGUGGCCUUUACUCUUUCUUUAAUUUGAGAUGGAGCAUCUCCAGCAUCUUCCUUCUAUGGAGGAUCAUCGUCGUUGAUGGAUAUGUGGUGACACCAGAAAGUGUCCUCUAUCUAUUCAUCAACCUUCAUUUGAGAUGACCUCAUUCUCAUUUUGGAUCGAAACAUGAUAUGAGGAUCCAACACUUUCUCCAUAUUCCUCACGUUCCUUGGUAUACACCACGGUAUGAGUAUUAGCUUUUAAUACCUCGUUGCAUAAAACUACCAGUUCUGUUUGUCGCCUCAUUCUGGAAGGGAUCAAACUUUUGAAAUCGUUUUGUAUUUUAAGUGAAGAGUGCAUCAUCGUGCUUUGAUGACUUCUAUUAUAUUUAUUGCUUUUCUUCUUAUUUAGAGUUCCCAACCUUUCAAACACAGAAGUUAUUGCAGUUGACCCUCCAAGUCAGUCAAAUACAGAGGGUCUUUUAUUAGCAGCAGUGGAUUCUUCUUCCACGGUGAUGUAAUUACUGACUGCCCUUCUUAUGGAGAUGCAAAUUGGCGGUGGCUGUGUGUAUCCUAGGCCUUCACGUGCCUGGCUGGUUGUAACCUCUAAUGAAAGUUUACCAAACCUUAAUGGCUCAUUAGGAUUGUAUCCAUCUUUUACAAAUAGCUUAUAUGCAUUUGGGUCAUAGCCUUCUUUCAUACGCUUUGUAGGGAGUGUCAUAUAUUAUGGCAGAUUUUGAGCCACAGACUCUUCAAGAAGUCUUGAGGAUGGAUUUAUUGUAUCAAUCUUCCUAAUAGGUAAAGUUAGACCCUUUAGCACAUUAUCUUGGGCAUCAUGUGAGUGAUCUUUCUCUUUCUUUACCUUUGACACGUAGCGAAGAACAAGAGUUGCCUUCUUUUUUGUAGGAGCAAUGCUUUCUUUAUUUGAAGUGAAGAGGGGCUUCCUGGUGGCGACUUUUUCAACAGUCACCGAGACCUUCUUAGAUGCAAGAUCAUCACACUUGGCCUUAGUGACAUCUUCAACCCUUUUCUCAUUUACAAUAUAAUUUUUUAAGUAGAAUUUUGCAUCAGCAAAGUGUGAUUCAGCUUUAAUGAAUGGCUUAUUAUCAGCUACUAUCUUUCUUUCCACUCCACCUUCAAGGUACUUCAAGCAUUGAUAGUAAGAGGAUGAGAUAAUUUUGUUCUCGUGUACCCAAGGCCUACCAAGAAAUAUGUUGUAUGCAGUUUUGGUAUCAUUACAUGCAUCAAUGCAUUUGAUUGAAAAUCAUCCAUAUGAAUCCGUAAAUUGAUAAAUCCCAUGGCCCUUUGGCCUUCUUGGUUGAAGACUUGGAUCAUUAUACGGCUUUUAUGCAGUUCGCUAGUAGCGAUGCCAAGUUUUUUCAUCGUGUGGAUAGGCAGGAUGUUGACUCUAGAUCCCUCAUAUAUCAAGAUUAUAUUAAUCUUCUUUUCUAGAAUUUGAUCCACCAUGUAUAAGGGGUGGUUAUGUAGGGCCUCAUCAAGAAGAAAAUCGUCAUUUGUGAAUGUGAUUUUUGUAUCACACAUAUGUGUCUCUUCGCCAAAAAUUUCAGCAAGCUUUUUGAAAGAUGAAGGGACUUCCAUGGGUAGAUUCUUAUACUUUACCCCCUCUUGGACAGUAUUUAAACAAGAUGCCUCAAGGUUGACUUGGGCAGUGUUUACACGAAACCAACUCGGUAAGAAUUCCUCUAAAGUCACCGGACGUCGAGGUUUUUGGUGGUGAAGCUCCGUCACCCUCGUCUUCUUUGGGAAUCCAACCAACUUCUGUUUCCUUGGUUUCUUUACCAUUCUCCUUCUGGUUGGCUGCUUGGAUGACUCCUUUCGCAGACUCAUCCUCCUGAGUCUGUGCCUCGUCACCAGAGUCUAACCUUCAUCAUUGCCUUCGUCAACAGAAGACCUGUCAGGCUCUAAUAUUUUCUCAUUAUGAUCUUCGACACAUAUUUAGACUUGGUCGAGCGAGCCAAAAGUAAUAGAGAUUUGAUGAGAACUGACCGUCUCAUCGUCGAAGAAGAUCUUCUUCUCUUUUGCCAGUUGCAUGACUUUAUCUUUAAAGGCAAAGCACUUUUCCAGAGAAUGACUUAUGAGCCUAUGAUAUUUACAAUAAUUAGGAUCAUUGGUUUUUCCAGCUUCGUUGGGACGCUUUAUCUCUGGGAGUUCAAUAAGCUUAUGCUCAAGGAGUUCAUCGAAAAUCUCAGUAACAUCAGAAUCAAGGAAGGGAUAUUCUUUUUCUUGCAUCUCCUUUAAAGUUUUCUAAUUUGGAUGUGCUCCAGAAGUUGUCUUCACACUUUGCUUCUUGCUUACCUUUGUGGUGACUUUCACAGGAGACACAUCAACAUUCAUAGACUCCUUGUUUUUAUUUUUAGGGAAGAACUUGCCCCAUCUUUUAGGUUCCUGCUUAUUCUUUCCCCUUCGAGGGUCAUGGAUAGGCGUUGAUCCCUUUUCAGCAGAAGACAUGCUCAACUCCAUAUCAUGAGCACGGGUAGCUAGCUCUUCAAAGGAUUUAGGAAUAAUGCCUUGCAAGAUAUAAAGAAGCUCUCAGUGCAUUCCUGGGACGCACAUUUCUAUUGCAGAAGCUUCGCUGAGCCUAUCUUACAGUUUAGGCUAGCAUUUCUCCAUCGAUUGAUGAAGUCAAUAACUAGUUCAUCCUUUCUUUGCUGAGUAUUCAUGAGCUCUACCAUGCUUACUGUAUGCCUUAUGCUAUAAAAGCGAUUUAGGAACUCGUGCUCCAAUUGUUCCCAGCUAUCAAUAGAAUUAGGCUCAAGGUCCGUAUACUAAUCAAAGGCAUUUUCUUUUAGGGAACGAACAAACUGUUUGACAAGAUAGUCACUGUAAGUUCCAUCAUUAUUACAUGUCUCAACAAAGUGUGCGACAUAUUGUUUUGGGUUCCCUUUGCCCUUAAAUUGUUGAAAUUUGGGGGGUUGAUAACCGGCAGACAUUUUGAGGCUAUCAAUCCUUGCCGUGUAAGGCUUGGUAUAAGCAAGAGAAGACUUAGCGACAACAUCAUACUUGUCUUUGAGGGUCCCUUCAAUGAAUUCCCUCAAUUGUCCAAUCGGAAUGAUUCCCUCAGAAGAAACUUGCACCUCUUUAAUCGGUGGUGUUUGUUUCAUAGGAUUUUCUAUCUCAUGCACUUCUGGAGAUUUUCCAGGUGCGUGGCUAGAUUAUUCGUCUAUCAGACCUUCCACCCUUCCAUUAUCUUAUCAAUUCGAGCAUCUUGAUUCUGAACAUAUUUGGUUAGGCCAUCAAUUACCUUUGCCAGAUUCGCAAGUUGCUCAUCCAUGGAUGAGAUAUCAGUUACCAUCGUUUGCAUAAUCACUGGAGAUAUUAGAGAGUAGCACAGAUUUGCAUAAGUUGAUCUUUGAAGUUCUCAAUUUAUGCGGUGUAUUCGGAGAUGAUGAGUUUCUUGAACAACCACCGUGUCAGAGUAUUUGGAACCGGAAUGCUCAAGUAGAGGUAGAGUCUUCUUAAACGAUUUAGCGACACUUCUUUCUCCUUCCAAAGCAUUUGUAUUAGACUUCGUUCCCUUUGAGGUUGAAGAUCCAACAACUGGAGUUGGUGCAGAUGACACUGGAUGUGUUUGUUAUCCUAGCAAGCCUGCCUUACUCCUUGUAACAGCUCCUAAGCUUUCGAAAGUGACACCAAGGAUACUUUCUACUUCAGCAGAGAACUUUGAGUUAGUAGCCUCAGAAGCAGUUAAUUGAGAGUUGACCUUCUUGGAAGCCAUUUCAGUGUUGUUGAACUUUGUAGUUGGAAAAGUUUAUAUGAGAGGUAGAGAUUGUCCCACUGGGCGUGCCAGAAUAUGUUGGAGAGUAAAAUUUUUGAGGCUGAAAAAUAAAUGAUUCAAGACGAAAAAUAUAUUGCAACAAUCAAUUUAUUGAUUUCAAUGCGAGUAUUACAAUCUCUAUGAAUCCUAUAAUUUGCCUUUUCAAAUAUAAAUUCAAGGGCUUAAAGCUUAAUCUUGAAUUUGAACUUGGUUUGCGAACUUGAGGGACUUGAUCUUGACUUGUGCUUGAAUUCAAGGGCUUUUUGAGCUUGUUCUUUAAUAUUGUGGUCUUUAUCUUGAAUCUUGAUGAACUUGAUUUGAAUGCUUGAACUUUUUAGAGAAAUUACUGCGUUUGAUCCACGAGCUUUUUCUUGCUACUUAUUAGAGUUCUUGGGGUCCCUUUUCUGAAUUAUAAGGUCCCUAUUUAUAGUUGUAGGAAAGGAAGAGUCAAUGAUAAAUAUGGACUUUCUUUGACCAAUCAGAUUUAAGUGAUGUGGCGCCUUUUAUGGGCUUUUAUUUCAUGGACCUGCUGCAUCAAUUUGACAUGUGACACGGUCCUAUUGGCUCCUUCACUUGACUUGGCAUGCCACGUCAUUUGACACGUGGUGCUUAUUUGGACCUCUAGAAUAUGACAAUAUCUUGGGCUUAGUAAAGUGGUCAUCAUUUGUAGCCCAAAUUAAUGGACUAACCCAAUAAAUAUUGGGUCUUAUUUAAAUCCAUACCUAUUUGGACAUAAAUAAUUAAUUCAAUUAUAUUAAUCCACAAUAUUUAUUUGGGACUAAUAUAUUUUAAAUUUAAUAUAAUCCGAAUUUUGUACGGAUUUAAAUUUAAUAAAAUUGCAUCGCCCGCAACAUGCAUAUUAUUUUUUCUUAUAUUUAUUAGUUUUGUCCUCAUGUAUUAUUUUAAUAAUAUUUUUCUUUAGACCUUUGUAAUUGAAUUAUACAUGAUACUAUUUUUGUAUAAUUAUAUUUUUGUUCCUUAUUAAAUGACUACCAAGGGUAUUUCAAUAAUUUUAUGAUGCAAUAAAAUGGUUACACAUGCAUAUUGCUUUUUCUUUAUAUUUAUUAGUUUUGUCCUCAUUUUUAUUGUGCAAUAAAAUGGUUACACAUGUAUAUUAUUUUUAUCUUAUAUUUAUUAAUUUUGUCCUCAUGUAUUAUUUUAAUAAUAUUUUAAUUUAGACUUUUGAAAUUGAAUUAUACAUGGUAGCAAUUUUUUAUAAAUACUUUUUUGUUCUUUAUUAAAUUACUUAGUUUAUACCCCAAGAGUAUUUCGGUAAUUUUAUGGUGCAAUAAAAUAGUUACACAUGCAUAUUGCUUUUUCCUUAUAUUUAUUAGUUUUUUCCUCAUUUUUAUGGUGCAAUAAAAUGGUUACACAUGCGUAUUAUUUUUUCUUAUAUUUAUUAGAGAUAAUACCUAAUUACCUCCCUGAACUAUACCCAAAAAGGUUAUAACACACCUCAACUUAAAGGGGGUCCUAUUACCCACUUGAACUAAUUAAAAGUGUAAUUUUGAUACCCUAAGUGCCUACGUGGCACAACACACUGAAGUGUUCACGUAGGCACACGCGUGUGCCACGUAGGCACUGAGAGUGUCAAAAUUACACUUUUAAUUAGUUCGGGGGAGGGGGGGAGGGGGGUAAUAGGACCCUCUUUAAGUUGAGGUGUGUCAUAGCCUUUUUGAGUAUAGUUCAUGGAGGUAAUUGAGUAUUUUCUCUUAGUUUUGUCCUUAUGUAUUAUUUUAAUAAUAUUUUUAUUUAGAUCUUUGUAAUUGAAUUAUACAUGGUAAUAAUCUUUUUUAAAUAUCUUUUUGUUCCUUAUUAAAUGACUACUAAGGGUAUUUCGAUAAUUUUAUGAUGCAAUAAGUAUUUUGAAAUUGACGUAUGUCUCCUCAACUUAUAUAUUUGAAACUUUCAAAUGAGACGAGCAACAUGAACUUUUCCACGAAUGUCCAAACGAAAGACGUACCGCCAAUUGUAGUUGCAACAAUCUAACUAGAUUUUUAUCCACUUAUAUAAUCACUUUUGUAUUGGUUGGACCAGUCUAGCAAGCUCAAUUUUGUUCCACACUGAAUGUAUAUAUUAUGUUAAUAUCGAUUCAUUGUAUUAUAUUUUUUUUCUUUUACUCCUAUACUAAACAAUUAAAACAAGUAAGAAAUAAUUUUUUCCAAAAUUGAAUCUCUUUUGUACAUUAGUAUUGCCAAAAUGCCCGUUUCUUGAACGGGCACAGGUAUCUAAGUCUCUAAAAUAAAGAGUGGUUCAAAUAGACUCUCAAUGUUUUGCUAGGUUAGACUUUGAUCCACGUGUGAAAAACACACUUUUGAACCACUUAAAUUUGGAUGCAUUAACAAAUUAUCUCCGCUUAUUCCGGGAAAUUAAGCUUGCAUGUAAACUGACACUAAAAAAAGCAAAUACUUUCUAGUAAAAACUAGUAAUUGAACUUCAAAAUUACAAAUUCAACUAAGAAUACGUGUAAUUAGUACUUUUAUUUCCCAAUAUAACUGUUUCUAACAUAAUUUAAUUCAUGAAAAAUAAACUUAAACCACAAAUAAAAAUAUGAAGAAACAACAAUUUUAUAAAAAUAUGAAAAAACAACAAUUUUAUUGAUAAACGAGGUGGUUACAAAUCUAUCUUCCUUGAUUCUUCUCUCGAUUUUCUCCGUAAUUCGAGGGCCGUUAGUAGCGUAUUUCUCGAACAUAUAGGAUGAUCUCUUUAUGAAUAUCCCAUGAUUUUAUGGGAUAUUAGAGAUCUCGAUCUUUUUACGAAUACCCAUCAAUUUAUGGGAUAUUCAAGAUAAUUAGUACUUUCUAAAAUCUCAUUUUAUGUGAUGCUAUAUCUAUUUUUCUCUGUUUUAUAAAAAAGUAUGACCUUAGUUUUAUUUUGAAAUAAUUUUAUUUUAUUUUCAUGAUCUUAUUGCCACACAAAUUUAAUGACAUAUUGAGAUUUUAAGUUUUAAAAGGUUUAUUACAACACAACAACGUGAUUUAAGACUACAAGUUCAAAAAAUUAUUAAUCUCGCCAUCUCGGUAUUCAAUAAGACAUGUCCAUAUAAAAUUGAAAUUAAAGGGAGUAAUAAAUAGAUGACAAAAAUUUAAAUAAAGAGUUAAGUAACUUUAUGAUCUACGCGUUUUUUGUGCCUCCUUUCUAGCGUUACUAGAUAACAAAGGGCCCGUUUAUGGGCCCAAUAUUAAAAUUUUAAAUAUACUAGUGAAAUGGGUCACGCCUUGCACGGUGAUAAACUAUUUUAUUGAAUAAAAAUAUAAUUUUUAUGAUUAUUCAAGUACAAUGAAUGCAUUAAGAUUUCUUUUAGAUUCAAAUUCAAAAAAUUAAAAUUAAUACUUUAAAUUCAUAAUAUUAUUUAUAAUUAGUUGUGUAGUUUAUUCAAAGUUUUCACUCUUUAAAAAUUUAUGAUCGUUUAGGGAUACUUGAUUUUAUCUAUCUCUAUGUAGAUGAUAUAAAUUUAUAUUUUUUACUAAAAAUUUUAUUUAAAAUAUAUAAAUAAUAUAUCAAAACACAAUAAAUAUAAAAAUUAUAAUUAAAAGUUCAUAAAUUAAAAAUAUUAUUUCAAUUUUAUAUCUGUGUAUAUAUAAUGCUUAAAUGCUAAAGUAAUAAAAUUUUAAAACUAAUUUUAAAAUACACUAAAAAAUAAAUUAUCAGGAUCCUUAGUUAUUAUUAGGACUCACAUUCUCUGAAUUUCAAAAAAUAUAUUAAAUUUAUAUUUGGAAACUCAAACUUNNNNNNNNNNNNNNNNNNNNNNNNNNNNNNNNNNNNNNNNNNNNNNNNNNNNNNNNNNNNNNNNNNNNNNNNNNNNNNNNNNNNNNNNNNNNNNNNNNNNNNNNNNNNNNNNNNNNNNNNNNNNNNNNNNNNNNNNNNNNNNNNNNNNNNNNNNNNNNNNNNNNNNNNNNNNNNNNNNNNNNNNNNNNNNNNNNNNNNNNNNNNNNNUUCCUCUAGUCAUUUACAUUUCUCAGCAGUUAUACUAAAAUCAUGAGAAUUGCAUUAUUUUGCAUAGAUAAGAAACUGCUAUAAUUGACAUGUGAGAAGGUGGUAGUAUUAAUUUCUAAUUAAUUUGAAAACUGAAAAAUAAUUAAAACUUUAAAACUUCAUCAAUUAACUAAUAAUAAAAUUUAAGAGGUACAAAAAUAUAUUCUUGCACUAAUGCUUUAUCAUAAAGAAUUUGAAGGGGUACGCCACAUGAUCACAAUAUACAUCAACUUAAUUGUAGCUAAAUUUUUUAAUGUUGAGUUGUAACUACCAAUAAUUAUAAUGAGCAAUAUGAAAAGGAUAGUAAAUUUCUAAUUGUGAUAAUUAAGGAAUCAAUUUUUACAUUAAUUACUUAGAAAAUAGAAAAAGCCAAAAAACAGAGGGAAAAAUAAGUUAGGUAUUGUAUUAAAAUGUAAAAAUAAAUAAUAAUUAUAUGAACUAAAAGACAUUCAUCUCAAGUGGUUCUUAUAUUCUUCUCCUAAAAUCUUUACAUAGUCAUCAUUUCAUCUUUACUUCAUUUGUUCACUAUUUGAUCUUCUUCUUAUCCCUGUAAAAAAAAUACAUCACAAAAUUAAGAUAUUAUAAAAAAAUUAUAAGAAAAUAGAUUUAAAUUAUACAUGUUCUUGCUUAAAAGUUACAAACAAUAUAAGAUAACAACAACAACAAAUUUAAUGUAAUCUCAUGUAUGAGUUUAGCAAAUCAAUUAAAUGUCAAAGGAACAAUGCAUGUAGAAGAAAAAGUAAUAGCAUACCUAAAGGAAAACAAUAAGGAGGAUAUUUUAGAAGGUAUACAAAUGAUUUAUCUUUUAAAAGAAUAUAUGAAAGUUCUAAAAAUAUAUAGUGAAUGAAAUAUCCUUAAUUUUGAUGGUGGAGGAAAGAAGACUUAUAA